CGGGCAUUAAGACUCUAGCCAAAACGUAGCCGCCACUACUCUUGGAGGAGAGGGUAUACCACUUAUAACAAGUAAACCCGAACCUCAAGCAAACAUAGAGACAAGUCUCCGUGAGGCCCAAGAGUGACCUAACCUUGUAAAGCUCAGGUGAAACCACCAUACAUCGGAAGCUCUUGGAGACCAGUGACAAAGUCCGAUAGUACGAUCUUGGAACGCGUGCCACGAUCAUCACUAGCAAAUCAUAGGGAAGUGACGACGAUGAUGAUGUGAGCUUCUUCUUCUUCUUCUUCUCCCUAAUACUCGUAGUCGUCGUUGUCUUCCUCUUCCUCCUCGUCGAUACGGAAUCGCCCUUGAUCAACCUCUCCAUUUCGGCUCCAAUUUAGGGGUUGGCGCCUCCCUGGCGGAACAAACAAACAAACAAAAAAAAUUAUUGAGUAGGUGAAAUUAGGGUUCCUCUCGGAAGAAAACGAAACUGCGACCUUCUUCUUCUUCUCGCCGUUUGGUUUGAUUUUUUCAAAGCUGCUGUGUACUAUUAUGGGUAUGGGGUCUUUUGUAUUGGGCUUUAUUAAGCCCACUACCUCUCUCUACAAUUUAAAUGCGGAUUUUGGGUUAUAGCAUUUCGUUUUGGGUAUGGGGUAUUUUCUAUUGGGCUUUGUUAAGCACACUAUUUUGGGUGCGUAUAGCAUUUCGUUUUUACAAAACAUGUCUGAAAUUUUAGAAUUUUGGAUCUUUCUACAAUACUAAACCAUUUUAGACUUAAAGCUUCUAAUCAUGACUCUCUCUCUUCUCUCUUAGAAAGAGAAAACUCUCUGUAAUUUCUUCUUCCUUCUUAUCACACUAUCAUCUUUCAGAGGGAAAGAAAUUGUCAGAGGGAGAGAGAGUCAUGUUUUUUGGUUUGUAAAAUAGAUUCGAUCGAUGAGAUCGAUCUUCCUUUCCGUAUAUCGGAUUUCAUGUUCGCUAUGGCGAUUUUGUUGUUUCGCUUAGGCGAUUUUGUGGUGUUACCGACUCAAAAUCAAAGCUUUUCUUCAUGAAUUUGUUGUGUUCUUUGAUUAUGGGUUGAGUUUAAUAAAUCUUUGCUCUCAUCCUUCUGUUUUAAUGUGUUUUAUCCGCUCAAUCAAGAGAAUUGAUUUCUCUUAUUGUUAGUAAAGCUCGGUUCUUGAUUCUGAUUUGGAAUCAAUCUUCGUUUUAUAUCAACCGAAGUAUCCAAGAUGGUCAAGAUCGGAGGUGUGGAUUAUGCUUUGGAGAUUCGAUGCAGAGCUUAGAAGAGUUGGAGCUGCCCAGGGGUUAGUGUUCCAGCAAGGUUCUGUUCUCGUUUCACUUCUGAAGCUUUCCUUGGUUCAAAUCCCUACCGAUUGGAGAUAAAAUCCUCGUUGGUUGGCGAUGAUUGAAGGUUUGAAGAGCAAGCAAGCAGCUUCAGACGAAUCGGAGAUGGAGACUGUUGGUUGUUCUGGCAGAGAUCCGGCACCGCUUCCGACAUCUCGGUUCAUGGAAUAGCGGGCCCACGCGCAAGCACGUGUCAUACAUGCAAGAAUCCUUAUCUCUUGUUUUUUUGGGUUCCGUUUGGGCUUUAUUAAUUUUGUAUCUUAAUUUGAAUCUGCCUGUAAAUGUGACCCAUUGGGGAUGGUUAAUAAAACCAAAAGUUGACAAAAAAAAAAAAGACUUAAAGCUUCUAUCUUUUACUCUAAACCAAUAAUUUUACAAACAUUUAUAACUAGAUGAUACAUUAUUAAUUCAAGUACCGUUAAAUACAAACAAAACAAAUUGGGGGAGACAUAGAGACAAGUCUCCGUGAGGCCCAAGAGUGACCUAACCUUGUAAAGCUCAGGUGAAACCACCAUACAUCGGAAGCUCUUGGAGACUAGUGACAAAGUCCGAUAGUACGAUCUUGGAACGCGUGCCACGAUCAUCACUAGCAUAUCAUAGGGAAGUGACGACGAUGAUGAUGUGAGCUUCUUCUUCUUCUUCU
rnacentral:lncRNA from 1 species